rnacentral:rRNA from 1 species
GCUCCUACCGAUUGGAUGUUGCGGCGAGUUGUCCGGAGGACGUGCCUCGGCGCGGCCCGAAGUUCUGCGAGCCCCAGCAUCUAGAGGAAGGAGAAGUCGUAAC